rnacentral:rRNA from 1 species
CAGUCGCCACGGUAAUGCGAAGGGUGCAAGCGUUACUCGGAAUUACUGGGCGUAAAGCGUGCGUAGGUGGUGGUUUAAGUCCGUUGUGAAAGCCCUGGGCUCAACCUGGGAAUUGCAGUGGAUACUGGGUCACUAGAGUGUGGUAGAGGAUAGUGGAAUUUCCGGUGUAGCAGUGAAAUGCGUAGAGAUCGGAAGGAACAUCUGUGGCGAAGGCGACUAUCUGGGCCAACACUGACACUGAGGCACGAAAGCGUGGGGAGCAAACAGGAUUAGAUACCCCCGUAGUCCCUGUCUCUUAUAC